rnacentral:rRNA from 1 species
AGUGAACGCUGGCGGUAGGCCUAACACAUGCAAGUCGAACGGCAGCACAGUAAGAGCUUGCUCUUACGGGUGGCGAGUGGCGGACGGGUGAGGAAUACAUCGGAAUCUACUUUUUCGUGGGGGAUAACGUAGGGAAACUUACGCUAAUACCGCAUACGACCUACGGGUGAAAGCAGGGGAUCUUCGGACCUUGCGCGAUUGAAUGAGCCGCUGUCGGAUUAGCUAGUUGGCGGGGUAAAGGCCCACGAAGGCGACGAUCCGUAGCUGGUCUGAGAGGAUGGUCGGCCACACUAGAACUGAGACACGGUCCAGACUCCUGCGGGAGGGAGCAGUGGCGAAUAUUGGGCAAUAGGCGCAAGCCUGGUCCAGCCAUACCGCGUGGGUGAAGAAGGCCUUCGGGUUGUAAAGCCCUUUUGUUGGGAAAGAAAAGCAGCAGGUUAAUACCCCGCUGUUCUGACGGUACCCAAAGAAUAAGCACCGGCUAACUUCAUG